rnacentral:snRNA from 1 species
AGCUCCUCUUUGCCUUUUGGCUUAGAUCAAGUGUAGUAUCUGUUCUUUUCAGUUUAAUCUCUGAAAUUGGCCUACGGGCCUUUCUUGAUUAUUCUUAUUUUUGGACCUAGGUUGCAGCUCACUGGGCUUGCUCAGCGCUGCGACCACAGUGCCCCAGCUAUUGCACCAUCUGCUGGUUAGGCGCAAUUUGGU